UCUCCGCCAGAGAACUACAAGUGAAAAACUUGAAACUCAAAGGACUUGACGGUGUCCCAUAUCGACCUAGAGGAGCCUGUCCUAUAAUCGAUACUCCACGUUUCACCCAACCUUAACUAGCAAAAUAUCAGCCUAUAUACCGCCGUCGACAGCCUACCCUAUGAAGGUCUAACAGUAGACUCAAUAGCAUCACCGCUAGUACGUCAGGUCAAGGUGUAGCAAAUGUUAAGGUAGAGAUUGGCUACAUUUUUUAUAAUAAAAAACACGAAAAGUACUAUGAAACUGUACAUGAAGGUGAAUUUAGUAGUAAAACAGAUAAGAGUGUCUAUUUUAACAACGCUCUGGGACGCGUACACACCGCCC
rnacentral:rRNA from 1 species